rnacentral:rRNA from 1 species
ACCUACGGGGGGCAGCAGUAGGGAAUCUUCCACAAUGGGCGAAAGCCUGAUGGAGCAACGCCGCGUGGGUGAAGAAGGUCUUCGGGUCGUAAAACCCUGUUGUUAGAGAAGAAAGUGCGUGAGAGUAACUGUUCACGUUUUGACGGUAUCUAACCAGAAAGCCACGGCUAACUACGUGCCAGCAGCCGCGGUAAUACGUAGGUGGCAAGCGUUAUCCGGAUUUAUUGGGCGUAAAGGGAACGCAGGCGGUCUUUUAAGUCUGAUGUGAAAGCCUUCGGCUUAACCGGAGUAGUGCAUUGGAAACU